GAAGAGCGGCGCCACAUUCAAGAAGCAAGCAAGCUCGGAAUUAUUUACUGAAAAGAUGUUUUCUUUCAAAUCGAUGGUGAUUUAGAGGAUCAUUGAACAUUACCAGUCACAGUCCAUAACGUUUUGGAGAGACGGAUACCAUUGUCUUCAGCAGCUUUGAAACAUGACUAGGAAUUGGUGGUACAUGUAACAGCAAGGAUGUUGCAGAGAAUGACCUCGGGAUCUUUCUGAAGAAGAUGAACUAUGGCAGAAAACAGUGAGGAUGUUGCAGAGAAUGACCUUGGGAUCUUUGUGACGAAGGUGAACCCUGGCAGGUAACAGUGAGGAUAUUGCAGAGAAUGACUUCAGGGUCUUUUUGAAGAGGGUGAUCCUUGGCAGUUAUCAACGAGGAUGUUGCAGAGAAUGACCAUGGUAUCUUUGUGAAGAGGGCGAUGCCAGGCGGUCAAAUUCAGAGAGUGGGCGUCUACGUGAUGAAGAGAAUUGGAUCAAGAGUGUCAAGGAGAGCUGAGUCAUUACAAUUUCUAUUGUUGACCACUGACCGCUAGUGAUUUUAAGCGGAGACCAGUGGACCAGUGAAAUAAAGAAAAUAUGCAUAAGAAAUUCAGUGUCACCAAAGAUUGCAAAGACCAAUCACUUUGAGUCCUAUUGUUUAUAAUCUUGUUCUAAAAUUUUCAUAUAAUGAUAGUUUUAAAACCUUUAUUCAACCAAGUUGAACCAUGGAAAUAAGAGUAGCCUACUGGGCAGGAUUUCUUGAUUUUGUUGCUUGGCUUUUGCCAGCCUGUAACGUUUUAAUCUUGUAGCGAGGACACUUCCAUUAUGUUCUUUCUGUUGGUAACAUUUAGAUACUCUGCUGUAUUUCCACAGCUGAAUACCAGUAACUAUAAGUUGCAAACAGACAAAACAAAUGGGUAUGCCCAUGCAAACAGAAUUAUUAUGUUAUAGGCUGAUAAAUUCAAGCAAGGAAAUUGAGAAAUCCUGCUUGGUGAUCUUGCUUUGAUUGUAAUAUCAGAUGGAAAUUAAGGUCCUUGGCUGUGCCUUUCAAAUGUAUAUAUUUAUUUCAUGCGGUCCACCGGUCUCAAAGUAACUGAGUAUCCAAUUGAAUGGGCCCUCCUUUGCCGCUCAGCCCAAGUUUCAAUGGAAGCAAGCACAGGGUGCUAUUGGAGGAUUCAUCUGGCAGAAGUGGCCCGACAGGAAUCGUGGUAUAUGGAGCUACAGUAGAUCGUAAAGAAGUCAUCGCUAUGAUGGAGGAUGAACUCAACGUACUCAAGGAAAUGUCUAGAAAUAUGUCACUAGAACAAGUGCCGGUAUAAUGGAAAGAGAAUGCCCGAAGACGGACGAAUGGAUUCUGACCAAUUGGUUAACUUGCUGAACAUGAAGGACCUAUCGACUUUUGAAAUCUGUGAGGGCACUUGUUGAAUUAAUACCACUCGGUGUACAACAUGGAUACAUCCCCUAACUGGUGAUAACCAUCUUCCAGGAAUAAAUGAGAGAUGUUCUACCCGAGACAAGGACCCAAUCUUGAAUCUUUAUCUACGUGCAGGGUUGGCUAGUAAACUCCGGAAUUUCUGGUUUGAAAAGUUAUUGGUGUUUUUGUGAAGUAUGAUAAAAAAAAUAGACACCAGUCAUUAUCUACCCUCUCUGUCCCAGUGUUAAACGUACAUUCAAAAUCUGUGAUCUACAGUAUAUUCCAUUUGGUGAACUAAAUAUUGUAUGUGCUAUUUUACGGCCUGAAAAAAAAUCCUUGUUAUUUGUGCGAAUCACAAUACAAGCACCAUCAAUGUGUUAAUCAUCAUAAGUUAAAAAAAAAUUGUUGGUCAACCACUUUUUCCUUAGACUGGUAGUAAGGAUUGAAAAAAAAAUUCAAGAAGUUUUAUCUGAACAAUUAAUCCAAGUGAAGGUGUAAAUAAGGACUAAUCUAAAGGGCUUUGAUUAUAAUUGAAUUACCAACAAAGGACUCAUUUCAUGGAUUGCAAUUUAAAUUGAAUUACCAAUAAGGACUUGUCUAAAGGACUGCAAUUAUAAUUGAAUUACCAGCUGAAUAAUUAAUUUUGAUUUUGAAUCCUGAACAAAGCUACUACCUUUUAAUACCCCAGUGGUUUUGUUUAUGUAAUGGCACUGUUACACAUAGUGACAACCAGACACUAAUUCCAAUCAAGAUUGUACCAGGACCCAUUCAGAACAUAGUAUUUUUGUAUUUGCAAUCAAUUACCAGGGCCCAUUUUCUAGAAUUCAAGUUCAGGUUUUCAAUCGAUAUGGGAGAUAUCUGCCAAAUUGAAUGAAAAAGAUCAAACUUUAUUUCAGUUUAUUUCGAAACAUUUUUAGUAUCAAAUAGGUGACUUGCAUUUGCAUUCACUUCUCAUGAACCCAUAUUUUUAAUUUAUUUUAUGAUGAAUUUUAUGUAGCUCUAAGGGGCAGGUCCAAGCUCUUUCUUUCUUUGCUGAUACUUUAGAGCAGGGUUUUAGCCACAUUGGGAAGUGCCGGGUGGUGCAGGGCAGAGCCGCCCAAUACCACCUGGCUCUUGGGUUGAAAUUGGAUGCACCGCCCGGUUCAAAUUUUCUGAAAAUAGAAUCAAAAUUUGCUGAGAAUGCACCACUUAGAUUGUAUUUCAAGCUAUCAGAGUCCUAGUUUUUGCAAAAAAAAAGUGCAAAUUCUGCAUGCAUUAUCAUACCAAGACAGUCACCAUCAAUCUGAAGUAAAAUUAUUUUGUUGUACAAUCUGUGCUUUGCAGCUGUGCCUCUUCAUAAUUAUUCUUACCAGCACUAAAUUUGUUAUAGCUAGAACCCUAGUUCAGAGUUUCGUAGUUAUGUAUUAUUUCAUGAACAAAUGCCUGCUUUGUAACUUGUAAAGAAUGUUUUCUGGGAGUAGAUAAUGUGCCUAAGGUUGGAAAAUAAUAGGCAAGUAGAAUUAAGCUGUGGUAAUUAAGCCUGGGAGAUAUUUGUGGAGAUAACUCAUUUUACAACUCUAUCUCGACAAGGUUUGUAUUUUCAUUUAUAUUGUGUUGACUUCUGCAAAAGUGGAUCCAAAGGUUUUCCAGAGUUUUUCCCUAUUGAGUUUUAUCUCUGGUUUUUUACCCUGGACCUACUUGU